rnacentral:rRNA from 1 species
CCUACGGGUGGCAGCAGUGAGGAAUAUUGGGCAAUGGACGAGAGUCUGAACCAGCCAAGUAGCGUGAAGGAUGACGGCCCGAUGGGUUGUAAACUGCUGUUAUAAAGGAAUAAAACGAGGCACGUGUGCCGUGUUGCAUGUACUUUAUGAAUAAGGAUCGGCUAACUCCGUGCCAGCAGCCGCGGUAAUACGGAGGAUCCGAGCGUUAUCCGGAUUUAUUGGGUUUAAAGGGAGCGUAGAGGGGUUGUUAAGUCAGUUGGGCCAGUUUGCGGCUCAACCGUAAAAGUGCAAUUGAUACUGGCAGUCUUGAGUACAGUUGCGGUCGGCGGACUUCGUGUUGUAGCG